rnacentral:snRNA from 1 species
GUGCUCGCUUCGGCAACAUAUACACUAAUAUUGGAA